GAGCAAUGCCAUGCCAUCUGAAACAGAGCAUCACACACCUUUCAAAAGAUAGCUCCUGGAAUGCUCCUGAGUCCGAGUUGAGACAGUGUGCUUGGCUCUGGGACAUUAAGUGAUGUAUGAUAACCUGGCUUCUGUCAAACCCACAAGUCAUAAGGCUGGGUGGGUCUACCAGUCAUCCUUCAUAAAAUCAAAGUGGCAUAUAUAGAAUUGGGCACAAGCAGGGCUGCAAGGCAAAAGUGAGCUACAUAAGCAGGUGCCCAGAUCCCUGUCACCCACCACUGUUGCACUGGUGCUUCCUUCUCAAUUUACAUCUGUAGCCACAUGGAUCAGAGAUCCCUCAUGACCUGAUGACAGAAGAGGAAAAAGGUUGAGUGUGGUGAACGUACGGGCUGUCUCAGUUGGUGAAAGUAAGCUGGAAGUACACUGUGGCUGCGCUAUGGCCCCACUUAGAGAUGAUCUGUGCACCUGCCAGAAGGAAGUAUAUAUAAGACUCAUGGGCAAUGGUUAAUGAAUUAGCGAGUUGGUUAGGAGCCUGGAAGAUCAAACACAAGGAAGUCUGGAAAAAAGGCACAUAAUGUACCUGAGAAUGGGUAUAGAGCAUGAUGAUUUUUGUACCUCAGAUAACAUCCACCACAGGAAAGGCACCAACCAAGCAGAUGGAAUGACUUAGCCAAAUAAUGUUAACCAGGCUUUGUUGGCACCCCAAUGCUGGCAAAGUGAUCAUAUGGAUGGAGGGGCCACGGUGGAGGUAAUUCAUCGGGUUCAACAUCAUGGACUCAUCAAGUCUGAUCUAACUACUGCAUUAGUGAAUGUCCAGCUUGCCAGCAACAGAUAACCAACACGUAGCCUGAUAUCACCAUUCCUCAAGGAAACCAUCCAGCCACUUGGUGGUGUUGACGCAGAUAAUUCCUUGCAAUAAACUUUCUGCACGUGAAUCUCCAACUUGGUGUUUUUGCCAAGAACUCAACCUAUGGCAGGUAUUUAAAUGUUUUUUUAAGGUAGCUGUGUGAAAUGUGUGCUUGUUGCUCAAUUUCAGAGAGCUUCAUGUUGGUCAUGUUGAGAGAUGGUGUUUAAUGAGGCUAUCAUUUCAAGGACAGUAGGAAUGGGAAUCAUUGAAAUGGCAAAUUUCAGUGGGCUUGGGGCUCAUGCCAAGGCUUCAGGUCCUCCCCAGACCUCAAGGGCAUGUCCAGGACGGCAGAACUCUGUGCUUCAGUUUGGGGGUUAAUUCUGGGUGUCCCCAACUCACUAGGGAUAAGUGGGAUGCAAAAGUGUAUGUAUCUGCCCCAGUUUAGAUUAGUGCUUCCUAAAUGCUGGGGUCUCUGCAAGUUAAUGGAGGCUCAAACCUUUAAAGAAGUCAUUCUCUUAAAUCCAGGACUGACUGUGCCUACCAAAAGCAGCCGACCAUCUUUCACAAGAGGAUCCUGCUGGGAGACACUGGCAAUGAGAAGUUCCUAUAGGACUUAUGUAUAAGAUCAGUCUGGGGCCAGGCGCGGUGGCUCUCGCCUGUAGUCCUAGCACUUUGGGAGUCCAAGGUGGGUGGAUCACCUAAGUUAGGAGUUCUUUUUUUUCUUUCUUUCUUUUUUACUUUAUUAAAAUACUGAGUUUUAUUUCACAUGUAUACUUUUGUCUCCCCACCAUUUCCAUGUCUGACCACCACUUCUAUGCCCUGUCAUAACAUUCCAUACAUACUUAAAACCAAGCAAAGGGUGGAGUUCCAUCUUUAAAAACUACAGGCAUUUUGGACAACACAUUCUUGGCAAUGGUAUCUUGACAACA